rnacentral:misc_RNA from 1 species
AAAAAGUUUGUCAAGCAAUACUCACAGAACAAUCGACCAUGGCCGGAGAUGGCACUGAGAAGGCAACAGUAAUAGAGGGAAAGGAAUGGUACAUGGCAGCCUAUGCACCUCAGGGUGUUCCAAGCUCCGAUCACCUCAAACUCCGGACUGUAACCAUAUCACUAGCAGAUGAUUCAAUUCCAGAUGGUCACGUGGCUGUUGAGUUGCUGUGGAUCUCCGUUGAUCCUUAUCUACGUUCUAGAAUGACAGGCCACCAGGACGGACUUUACAUGCCCCAGUUCAAAAUCGACGAGGUGUUGGUGGCAUUUGGGGUUGGAAGGGUAAUAAAGUCAAAGGACAGCAGAUACAGUGAAG